AUUAAAACACCGGUUCCCGUACGAUCACAAAAGUUAAGCAACGUCGAACCUGGUCAGUCAGUACCUAGAUGGGUGACCGCUUGGAAAUACCAGGUACU